GUAGGGAAUUUUCGUCAAUGGGCGCAAGCCUGAACGAGCAAUGCCGCGUGAGUGAGGAAGGCCUUCGGGUCGUAAAGCUCUGUUGCGAGGGAAAAAGGAACGGAAGAGGAAAUGAUUCCGUUUUGAUGGUACCUCGCCAGAAAGUCACGGCUAACUACGUGCCAGCAGCCGCGGUAAUACGUAGGUGGCAAGCGUUAUCCGGAAUGAUUGGGCGUAAAGGGUGCGCAGGCGGCAUAUCAAGUCUGAAGUGAAAGGUACGGGCUCAACCUGUACAGGCUUUGGAAACUGGUAUGCUCGAGGACAGGAGAGGGCGGUGGAACUCCACGUGUAGCGGUAAAAUGCGUAGAGAUGUGGAAGAACACCAUUGGCGAAGGCGGCCGCCUGGCCUGUAACUGACGCUCAGGCACGAAAGCGUGGGGAGCAAAUAGGAUUAGAAACCCUAGUAGUCC
rnacentral:rRNA from 1 species